AUUGAACGCUGGCGGCAGGCCUAACACAUGCAAGUCGAGCGAGCGGCGGACGGGUGAGUAAUGUAUGGGGACUGCCCGAUAGAGGGGGAUAACUACUGGAAACGGUAGCUAAUACCGCAUACUAUCGGAUAACCCAUAGGGGAUUAGCUAGCAGGUGAGGUAAUGGCUCACCAAGGCGACGAUCCCUAGCUGGUCUGAGAGGAUGCUCAGCCACACGGGGGAUGAGGAACGGCCCGGGAUGCUACGGAGGCAGCAAUGGGGAAUAUUGCGCAAUGGGGGGAAGCCUGAUGCGGCCAUGCCGCGGGUAUGAAGAAGGCCCUAAGGUUGUAAAGUACUUUCAGUCGGGAGGCGUUACCGAAAGAAGAAGCACCGGCUAACUCCGUGCCAGCAGCCGCGGUAAUAC
rnacentral:rRNA from 1 species